GAGGAAAGUCCGGACACCACAGAGCGCUAUAGCGGGUAACGCCCGUCCGCCGUAAGGCGAGGACCAGUGCAACAGAAAGCAAGUACAGUUCGGCUGUAGUGAAAUCAGGUAAACUCUAUAGGGUGCAACGCCAAGUAUACCGGCAACUAAGAGUGGCUCGCUCCGUGUCGGAGGGUAGGCGGUUAGAAUGGCCUGGCAACAGUCCAUCCAGAUAAAUGAUAAGCUCUUUCUCCUGAAGGGAAAGCACAGAAUCCGGCUUA
rnacentral:RNase_P_RNA from 1 species